rnacentral:misc_RNA from 1 species
GUAACAAGGUCUCCGUUGGUGAACCAGCGGAGGGAUCAUUACCGAGUUUACAACUCCCAAACCCCUGUGAACAUACCAAUUGUUGCCUCGGCGGAUCAGCCCGCUCCCGGUAAAACGGGACGGCCCGCCAGAGGACCCCUAAACUCUGUUUCCAUGUGUAACUUCUGAGUAAAACCAUAAAUAAAUCAAAACUUUCAACAACGGAUCUCUUGGUUCUGGCAUCGAUGAAGAACGCAGCAAAAUGCGAUAAGUAAUGUGAAUUGCAGAAUUCAGUGAAUCAUCGAAUCUUUGAACGCACAUUGCGCCCGCCAGUAUUCUGGCGGGCAUGCCUGUUCGAGCGUCAUUUCAACCCUCAAGCCCAGCUUGGUGUUGGGACUCGCGAGUCAAAUCGCGUUCCCCAAAUUGAUUGGCGGUCACGUCGAGCUUCCAUAGCGUAGUAGUAAAACCCUCGUUACUGGUAAUCGUCGCGGCCACGCCGUUAAACCCCAACUUCUGAAUGUUGACCUCGGAUCAGGUAGGAAUACCCGCUGAACCUAAGCAUAUCA